ensembl:lncRNA
AUACCAAACUGCUUCAUCAUCUCUCUCUCUUAUUUCUGUCAACUGUAUCAUUUCCCCCAACCAUUCAGGAAUAAACCUUGAACUCAAGAUGACGAAACCCUGGCUCAGAGGUUAACUUGUUCAAGGUCAACCAGUUGGCAGUGACCGAUAUGGGAUUUGAACCAUCAGGAUGCCAAUGCUUGCCCUCUUAAUCCCUGUGUGGCUCAACGUAUGGGCUAAACGUCGCCUUCAGUCCGUGCGCUUCAUCCUCAAAGCCUGCAUUUUACUCUCAGCAUGUUCCCAGUCCUUCUCCCGGGAACUGGAGGAACUCACGCAGAGGCUCGCCCGGAUGAGAUGAGCUCCCUGGCGGCGGGCCGGACUGCGGGUAGGGGCGGGCACCCAGCCGCCUCUGCGCAGGCCUCCUCCACCCACGUGAGGGGUCGGGGCGCGGUCGCCUGGAGUCGUGGAGCGCGGCCGCAGUGCGGUGGGCACUGAGCUAGAAAGGGGCGGAAAGCGACAGCGAGAAUCCAUUCCAAAUGAGCAGCCAAGAGGAGACGCGGCAGCUCCCAGAUGUUGAUGUUUUGUUUUUUGACAUAAAUCUUUGCACUCAUAUGGGAGUUUUCAUUGAUUUAUGUUUCCAUCUGCUGAAUUUCCUUUUAUUUAUUUAAUACGGCUUUUUG